CCUACGGGAGGCUGCAGUCGAGAAUCAUUCACAAUGGGGGAAACCCUGAUGGUGCGACGCCGCGUGGGGGAAUGAAGGUCUUCGGAUUGUAAACCCCUGUCAUGUGGGAGCAAAUUAAAAAGAUAGUACCACAAGAGGAAGAGACGGCUAACUCUGUGCCAGCAGCCGCGGUAAUACAGCGGUCUCAAGCGUUGUUCGGCAUCACUGGGCGUAAAGCGUGCGUAGGCUGUUUCGUAAGUCGGGUGUGAAAGGCGCGGGCUCAACCCGCGGACGGCACAUGAUACUGCGAGACUAGAGUAAUGGAGGGGGAACCGGAAGUCUCGGUGUAGCAGUGAAAUGCGUAGAUAGCGAGAGGAACACUCGUGGCGAAGGCGGGUUCCUGGACAGUAACUGACGCUGAGGCACGAAGGCCAGGGGAGCGAACGGGAUUAGAUACCCGAGUAGUC
rnacentral:rRNA from 1 species